GCCAGCAUGGUGUACUGGCUUGAGCAUGGAUUACAAUUCUGUAGAUCAGGGUUCAAUUCCCUGUUUGGCC